AGGACAUGGUGUGUCUCCCUACAGUCUGGAAGACUCAACUGCAUUUCUUUGCUGGUGUGGUGACAACAAUAAUGAUACCAGGGAUAGGGGCAGCAGCUCCGGGCCUAGCCCUGUGGUAUACACCUGAAUAGCACUAUUCACGACAGCCAAAAGGGAAAACAACCUACAUGCCCAUCAACAGUUGAAUGGAUAAGGAGAAUGCGGUCUAACCACACAAUGGAAUAUUGUUCAGCCAUUAAAGGAAUAAAGUACCGACGCCUGCUAUAAUCUGGAUGAACCCCAAAAACAUCACGCUAAGUGAAGGAAGCCAGACCCCAAAGAUCACGAGUAUUGCCUAGCAAUCUCUGAAUGGCUCCCUACCUUCUGCUUUCUUCAGUGGAUCAUAAGAAGCUGCUGAAGCCACCUGGCACUUGGCCACCAAGAACAUGGC